GUGUGAUCAAAUCACCCAGAAUAGCUGGAAUUACUGGCAGAAGGUGUAGUGGUGAACCUACGGUUUUCUGAAG